rnacentral:rRNA from 1 species
UACGAAGGGGGCUAGCGUUGCUCGGAAUCACUGGGCGUAAAGCGCACGUAGGCGGAUUGUUAAGUCAGGGGUGAAAUCCUGGAGCUCAACUCCAGAACUGCCUUGAUACUGGCGAUCUCGAGUCCGGGAGAGGUGAGUGGAACUGCGAGUGUAGAGGUGAAAUUCGUAGAUAUUCGCAAGAACACCAGUGGCGAAGGCGGCUCACUGGCCCGGUACUGACGCUGAGGUGCGAAAGCGUGGGAGCAAACAGGG